rnacentral:rRNA from 1 species
CCCUCCUUGUUUAUCCCGCCUAUAUACCGCCGUCGUCAGCUUACCCCAUGAAGGAUUCAUAGUAAGCAAAACAAGUACAACUUAAAACGCAAGGUCGAGGUGUAGCGCAUGAGAGGGGAAGAAAUGGGCUACAUUCCCUAAAUAAGGGCACACGGAAAAUACAAUGAAAUGCGUAUUGGAAGGAGGAUUUAGCAGUAAGCAGAAAAUAGAGAGUUCUACUGAAACUGGCCCUGAAGCGCGCACACACCGCCCGUCACUCUCCCCAAACAUAUAAAUUACAUAAUUAAUAAGCCAAACAAACAAAGGGGAGGCAAGUCGUAACAUGGUAAGUGUACCGGAAGGUGCACUUGGUCAAC